UUGAGUGCUUACUGCUAAGCCCUUUAAAUUAAUCUGGUGGACACCUAUUUGGUUAGCUGCCCACCUGUUCCUUCCAUCUACAUGGGUACCCUACCAUGUGGCCCUUGUAGGCCAUUCUAUACCAUGUGAUCCUGCUGGCCUGUUGAUUGGAUCAAUGAUGGUCACAUGAUCCAAGCUGGGCCAAUCAGUUCUUUCUCUUGGAAUCUGGAAUUGGAAUUAGGAGAACAUACAGUUCUUUCUCUCAGAAUCUGGAAUUUGAAUUAGGAGAACAUAUAGUUCUUUCUCUCUCUUUCUCUGUGUCUUUGGAUGACUGGGUUUGAAACACAGAAGAUAAACCAAGAAAGCUCAUCCAAAGAGAGAAAGUAAAGAAUUAACGAAAUGCACCAAGAGAAGCAGAGCCUUCAUCUCUCCAGCAAGGGAGUCUGGCCCUUGCAGUCUGCCCUGUCCCCCGUCAAGCUGCCAUGAAACGCCUGAGGUCUGACUUUCUGGAGCCCGACAGGGGCAAGUCUCUGCUCUUUGCUCUGAGUCCAGUUCCCACCCUGACAGAAGCCAGGCCGUGGUGAAGUCGCGCAUGCCCCAGAGACCCAAGUGCUUGAAGGUUGCCAAACACUUCAUGGUAUAACCAGAAAUGAGACUUCAAAUGCAAAUGGCCCAGGGAAGGAAGAUGCACAUUGCCUCACAUUCUCACUACAGUGUGGAUGACUGAUAUCUGACUCCUCCCAGAGAGCAAAUUUCUGAUGAGAAGCUGGGAAACCUGGUCUGAGUCAUGAGAGAGUUUCCUCCGUGAGAGCCCAGGCAGAAUCUCGUCUGUUCUCUGAGAUCAACACUUCCAGCACAAGGCUCCAAUUUUAGCUUAUUCUCUGAGCUUCUGUCCUGCUCCCCAGACCGGGAUGGCGUUGGCCUGAGUGUAUGUACCGGCUCUUUGUUUGAGUGUAUGUUUGUUGAGUGUAUGUUUGCCAGCUCUUUUCAGCUGGGCUCGUGACCUAGAAGAGGUGGCUCGAAUACUCACCCCUCUCAGCCCUAACCCAGGCCUAAGUAGCCAUCUCUCUUCUCAGUUCCAAGGCUGCCCCUACUCACAGCCCCCAAAUUCUAACCCUGUGCAUUUCUGGGAAUUCCUCCCCCUUCCAACACACCAGCCAGGAUGGUCCAGACCUCCUGAAACGCCUCUCCUCUCACCCCGCUUGAGCUGGUGUCCAAGAGCAUGUAGGUACCAUCUGUCCUCCCCCUCUUAUUCCAGCUCAGAAAACUGUCAUAGCUGGGAUAUCAGGAUAUGGUACCUGGUUUCCUCGUAAUAAUAAUAAUAAUCACUAGCAUUAGUUGAGCAUUUACUAUGUGCUAGACACUGUUCUGUGUCCUUUAUAUGUCCUAACUCAAUCCUUUUAUGAAAUAAGCACUAUAACCCUCAUUUUACAGAAGGAAGACUGAGGGACUGAAAGGUUAAGUAACUUGGCCAAGAGCACACAGCUAGCAAGU